GUUAACCGAGUACAUGAAAUAAAAUGACAGUUUCAGAAAUGUUAUUUAUAUUUAUCUAUAUAUCUGACAGUGCUUGGUUUGGGAACGGCUUUGGGUUUGUGCGCACUUCUGAUUUUCUGUCUCAUUUAUUUCACACUGAGGAGAAGAAAACGUGAUAAAAUGAACGCCUCUAUAGACGACUCUCACGGAACGAGACAGGAAUCUCAUUUCAACACCUUGAAUUAUGAAACUUUGCAAUUCUUCAUGAAUAAAGUCAAACCUGGAGGAAGGGAUGAUUUGGUGUACUCUGAUGUGAUGUAUGUGACACUGUAAUAUAUAACAUAAACGACCCAGAACACAUGUUAAUAUUAGCUGAACUUCUGCUAUACUAAAGUUUAGUUGUUGUUAUCUUUUUUUUUA